UAACGUGUGGGCAACCUGCCCUGUACUGGGGAAUAAUCAUUGGAAACGAUGACUAAUACCGCAUGUGGUUCUCGGAAGGCAUCUUCUGAGGAAGAAAGGAUUUAUUCGGUACAGGAUGGGCCCGCAUCUGAUUAGCUAGUUGGUGAGAUAACAGCCCACCAAGGCGACGAUCAGUAGCCGACCUGAGAGGGUGAUCGGCCACAUUGGGACUGAGACACGGCCCAA
rnacentral:rRNA from 1 species